GGGGGGAGAUGAGGAAGAAGACCCCAGAAGGGCCCCUAGUUAACUCUGUAUGUACCAGUCUCUGGGCUCAGCCUGGGAUGGCAGCUGGGCCAACAGAUGUGCUACCAGAUGUGGUUCUGGAAGUUCUAUGAUUCUUCAUAGAUUUUCCCCAACCUCCUUAACCUGGGAAGUACCUUCUGGUAGCAACUGGGACUUCCCCUUCUGAUGGCCCCAGCCUGUUGCAGUGGUACCUUGACGUCCCCUCAUUACAUUCGAGGCUGGGUCCUGAAAUUCUGUCCCAGACCACCAAGGAAGUUUGGACCAGUAGCAAGAACACUGGCUAUCAGUCCAAAGAAACCUUAAGGUCUGGUGAUGGACCAUUAUCUGAAGAACAGCUUAGCAAAACUUGGAGAAUCUCAUCAAAAUGCUGCAGAGGGAUGAAUCUUUGGGUUAUAAAGCAGUUUCUAUCUGCAUUGGUGGAGAA